rnacentral:rRNA from 1 species
GAUGAACGCUGGCGGCGUGCCUAAUACAUGCAAGUAGAACGCUGAAGGAGGAGCUUGCUCUUCUGGAUGAGUUGCGAACGGGUGAGUAACGCGUAGGUAACCUGCCUGGUAGCGGGGGAUAACUAUUGGAAACGAUAGCUAAUACCGCAUGACAACAGUUAUUGCAUGAUAACUGUUUAAAAGGGGCAACUGCUCCACUACCAGAUGGACCUGCGUUGUAUUAGCUAGUUGGUGAGGUAACGGCCCACCAAGGCGACGAUACAUAGCCGACCUGAGAGGGGGAUCGGCCACAAUGGGACUGAGACACGGCCCAGACUCCUACGGGAGGCAGCAGUAGGGAAUCUUCGGCAAUGGACGGAAGUCUGACCGAGCAACGCCGCGUGAGUGAAGAAGGUUUUCGGAUCGUAAAGCUCUGUUGUAAGAGAAGAACGAGUGUGAGAGUGGAACGUUCACACUGUGACGGUAUCUUAACAGAAAGGGACGGCUAACUACGUG